rnacentral:rRNA from 1 species
UACAGAGGUCCCAAGCGUUGUUCGGAUUCAUUGGGCGUAAAGGGUGCGUAGGCGGCGCGGUAAGUCGGGUGUGAAAUCUCGGAGCUUAACUCCGAAACUGCAUUCGAUACUGCCGUGCUUGAGGACUGGAGAGGAGACUGGAAUUUACGGUGUAGCGGUGAAAUGCGUAGAUAUCGUAAGGAAGACCAGUGGCGAAGGCGAGUCUCUGGACGGUUACUGACACUGAGACACGAAGGCCAGGGGAGCAAACGGG